rnacentral:rRNA from 1 species
UACGUAGGGGGCAAGCGUUGUCCGGAAUCAUUGGGCGUAAAGCGCGUGUAGGCGGCUCGAUAAGUCUGCUGUGAAAGUCCAGGCUCAACCCUGGGAUGCCGGUGGAUACUGUCGAGCUCGAGUCCGGAAGAGGCGAGUGGAAUUCCUGGUGUAGCGGUGAAAUGCGCAGAUAUCAGGAGGAACACCAAUUGCGAAGGCAGCUCGCUGGGACGUUACUGACGCUGAGACGCGAAAGCGUGGGGGAGCAAACAGG